rnacentral:piRNA from 1 species
GGUAUGUAGAGUUGCCAAAUUCAUAG